rnacentral:rRNA from 1 species
GUCGAACGCUUCAGCAAUGAAGAGUGGCAGACGGGUGAGUAACGCGUGGGAACCUUCCCAGUGGUACGGAAUAGCCCAGGGAAACUUGGGGUAAUACCGUAUAAGCCCUUAGGGGGAAAGAUUUAUCGCCAUUGGAUGGGCCCGCGUCGGAUUAGCUUGUUGGUGAGGUAAAAGCUCACCAAGGCGACGAUCCGUAGCUGGUCUGAGAGGAUGAUCAGCCACACUGGGACUGAGACACGGCCCAGACUCCUACGGGAGGCAGCAGUGGGGAAUAUUGGACAAUGGGCGCAAGCCUGAUCCAGCCAUGCCGCGUGAGUGACGAAGGCCUUAGGGUUGUAAAGCUCUUUUGGCGGGGACGAUAAUGACGGUACCCGCAGAAUAAGCUCCGGCUAACUUCGUGCCAGCAGCCGCGGUAAUACGAAGGGAGCUAGCGUUGUUCGGAAUUACUGGGCGUAAAGCGCACGUAGGCGGACUUGUUAGUCAGGGGUGAAAUCCCGGGGCCCAACCUCGGAACUGCCUUUGAUACUGCAAGUCUGGAGUCCGGAAGAGGUGGGUGGAAUUCCUAGUGUAGAGGUGAAAUUCGUAGAUAUUAGGAAGAACACCGGUGGCGAAGGCGGCCCACUGGUCCGGUACUGACGCUGAGGUGCG